AACAGGAUUAGAUACCCUGGUAGUCCAUGUCGUAAACGAUGAGUGCUAGGUGUUGGAGGGUUUCCGCCCUUCAGUGCCGGAGCUAACGCAUUAAGCACUCCGCCUGGGGAGUACGACCGCAAGGUUGAAACUCAAAGGAAUUGACGGGGGCCCGCACAAGCGGUGGAGCAUGUGGUUUAAUUCGAAGCUACGCGAAGAACCUUACCAGGUCUUGACAUCUUGCGCUAACCUAAGAGAUUAGGCGUUCCCUUCGGGGACGCAAUGACAGGUGGUGCAUGGUCGUCGUCAGCUCGUGUCGUGAGAUGUUGGGUUAAGUCCCGCAACGAGCGCAACCCUUGUUACUAGUUGCCAGCAUUCAGUUGGGCACUCUAGUGAGACUGCCGGUGACAAACCGGAGGAAGGUGGGGGCGACGUCAGAUCAUCAUGCCCCUUAUGACCUGGGCUACACACGUGCUACAAUGGUCGGUACAACGAGUCGCUAACCCGCGAGGGCAAGCUAAUCUCUUAAAGCCGAUCUCAGUUCGGACUGUAGGCUGCAACUCGCCUACACGAAGUCGGAAUCGCUAGUAAUCGCGGAUCAGCAUGCCGCGGUGAAUACGUUCCCGGGCCUUGUACACACCGCCCGUCACACCAUGGAAGUUUGUAACGCCCAAAGUCGGUGGCCUAACCAUUUGGAGGGAGCCGCCUAAGGCGGGACAGAUGACUGGGGUGAAGUCGUAACAAGGUAACC
rnacentral:rRNA from 1 species